UGGACUGAUACGAACAUCCUUCUGGAAAAACACCAUGCCCCCCCUCAUCGUUUUCUACUAAGGCUCUCCUGGCCUGAGCAGCAGCCUAAAUGGUCCUCAGCUAGAGAAAACACUUCAGAAAAAUUGAAUUCUGUAUCUCCAGUCCACCAGCCUUGAGUCUCUGCAUAACUCCUAAGCUCAGGAUGCUCAACAUCAAUUUUUGUGGUUAAUGAAAGCUGGUUGCAAAUGCAUUUUACUCCCUCUAUGGAAAGAGCCACAAAUCACAAUAUACCAUUACUACAGUGGAGCUAGAAGUGGUUAGAGGAGCAAAAUAUUUGAUUAGCAAAUUAAGCCAUUGACCAAUCUACACAUUUCGUUGUGAUAGUCACCUAAUUACACACGCACAGGAUUUACUCAUCACUUCAAGUUUCAGGGCCUGAUUCUCCAAUGCAUUUUGUGUCAUGUUUAGAUACUUAUCCCUGCACCAUGUGAUUGCACAAUGCUACCGUAUCAGAAUGCUAUAAUUUUCAACCAUCUCUGCACAAUGGAAAAGAUUCUACAAGGUGCAAAGCAGUAGAGAAUCAGGCUCUUAGAUUUCCAGAAGCUAAAUUACGACACUUCACUUCCAAACAGGUUUUUGAAAGUAAUCUUGACCCUUUGCCCGAGACCACAUUAACUAGCUCAUCUAACAUGGUUACAAUCAACCCAAAGGAAUUGACACAAUAGUACUUCAGCCCAAAGUUGAUCUGUGUGGCAUUACUUGUUGUUUGAAGAAAAAGUUAAUCCUACUAUUCAACACAGCAUUAUACACAUUUGCUAAAUAACUUUCCAUCCCAGAAACUGUCACCUAAUUAUAACUGGAAAUUUUAAAUUUCUUGUUUGAAAAUGGGCAUCAUUUGAAAGACCAGCAGAAGAAGAGCUCAUGUGGAAUAACUCAUAAUCUGGUUUCCAAUCAAAUAGGAAUACUGAUUUAAAGAUUUUUUUUUAAUGUUCAAUAUUUAAAAUGCAAUAUCGAAUUAUAAAUCCUUCUGUAAAAGUGUAAUGUAUACUAACACCUAGUGUCUUUGUGAGCACAAGACUUGUUUUAAAACACAGUUCUCUAGAUGUUAAGACAAUAAUAUGGAUUGAAAAUAA